rnacentral:rRNA from 1 species
UUGUUGUUACCUUUGAACAUGACCGUGAACACGUAACAUAAUGCUGCCGGGGAGUUCCAUCUCCUCGGCCCUGCCGGCCCCGGCUUAUUGGCUGGGUGUCGGAAAACGGCGCGGGAUGUCGCCAAGGAACACUGAUUUGCUGAGGCAGACGACAAUACGCUCGUACUGCUGACGCCAACUUAACAUUAUGACUCUCGGCAACGGAUAUCUCGGCUCUCGCAUCGAUGAAGAACGUAGCGAAAUGCGAUACGUGGUGUGAAUUGCAGAAUCCCGUGAACCAUCGAGUCUUUGAACGCAAGUUGCGCCCGAGGGAUCCUCCCGAGGGCACGCCUGCCUGGGCGUUAGAAGCCCAUCAACGCUCUGUCAACCUUUCUACAGAGGAUUGACUUGACGCGGACAAUGGACCUCCGAGCCGGCAAUGGCACGGCGGGCUGAAGUGAAUGGUCGUCGGAUGGUAACAGGAUCGGCGAGUGGUGGGCUACUGCGCAUGCCAAUCCCGGCUGCCAUUUCGACGUAUGGCCUCUAUACCCCAGUCGGAAACGAGGGGAUUGUUGUCACGGCAUCUUGUUGUGGGACAAUUUCGGACCGAUACCCCAGGUCAGGCGGGGCCACCCGCUGAGUUUAA